rnacentral:lncRNA from 1 species
GUUUCUACAAAGGUCUUUGUUGUAGCAUAAACAGUGAGCUGUGCGUUUCCCGGUGAGUCGCAGUGUUCACAGUUCUUACAGUUCAUCUCCUUCCAGGUAGAACAGUGCGAUGUGAGUCUGCGGUGAACCCUGGGGGCCAAGGGGCCAACCCAACAGGCGAGGCCGCCUGCAGGGGGCGGUAGAGACCACGCGUGGACACGCAUCUGCAGCACAACAGGGAGUAAAAGUAGAAGACUCGCGUGGCCUGUUGUUGUGUUCAAUUCUAUUGGACAAACAUUUGCAAAUGAAGCAAACUCCUUUUUUCUUUCCUGCUGCAUGUGAGUGUUUGUUUAGUUCUCCAGCUGAUCAAAGAGAGGAAGGGAAAGGGGGAGAAAAAAAGAAGACAAAACUGUGAUGAGUUUUAAAAAAACAAAAUUCCCCUGUAAUCACGGUAACUCAACCAGGAUAUGAAAUGGGAAAUGUGGCACGCAUGCGGUUUUUUGCGGGAAAAACCCCAGGAGGCGAGGUUUGUCAAAACGCCCGCACACGGUCCCCGUGGACGCCGCCCGCCGGGCCGCGGAGGCGAGUGGCUUCGGGUUCGGCGCAGCACGUCCCCGCGAUCAAUCACCGCAGCGCUGCGUCCCCGAGGGUGGUGGAGAUGCGGGGCACCAUCGUGGGCCGACAGCCGUGGGCCCCGGGCACCGGGCCCCGGGCCGCGGGUCAGCAUCCGCCGGUAGCGAAUGAAAAGGAAAAGGAAAAAGAAAGAAGUGGAGAGAAAAGUCGUCAUCCGUCCCAUCUGGUUGACAUUAAGGCCGAGUCGGUCCUGAUGGCUCCUGCUGCUGGAGUGUCUGAGGCUUUGACGGCGGCCCUGUGUCGUGCGGCGCUCGGUGUCCGAGCCGUGCCAGGCGGCGUGUGUGGUCAACAGGCGACUGGGAAGCUGCAGGGGGGAGCGAGAGGGUCUACGGGUCGAGGCAAGAAGCCCCCUUUUCACUCCAAGUCAGUGCCUCCUCGCCAUGUAUCUGUUUGCUCGUCUUGUCUUUCCUUCCUUGUUCGUCUUGUGUAUUUCUGGAUCUGGAUCUGGCUGACCUUGAAUAACUCUCACCUGGAGUACGCAUCGCAUGUGCCUGUGUUGGGAUAGCGCCGCGUCCUGUAAAGAUGUAUUUUAAUCGACCCCUAGCCUUCCCGCUCACACACUUACACCUCAUCGUUCUCCCCUCCCUCCCUCCCUCCCUCCCUCCCUCUGUAGCCUAGGGGCAUAUGGUUUGACUGGGCAAGAGAUAAGAGAGAUGUGUCAGCCUGCGGUACUGAACAAACACAUCUUUCAUUUCUUCCUUUCUUCUCCCCUGCUUUGACUCCUCUUCCUCUGCCCCACUCCCUUCUCCUCUCCUCUCCCCUUUUUCUUCCUCCCCUCCUCUCCUCUUCCAGAUCUCCUCACCUCUUUAGUCUCCGUGACGGCUGGGUACAAUUAGGAGCAGAAAGC